CCUCCCUCUCCUCCUUCCCCGCCACUGCCCGGCCUCCUUCCCACCCGCCGCCGCCCAUCCUCCUCCCCACCCGCGUCUCCCUCUCCUCCUUCCCCGCCGCCACCCGGCCUCCUCCCCACCCGCGCCUCUCUCUCCUCCUUGCACCCUUCCGAUCUGGCGCCGCCAAACCCUAACGCCCCGCCCCGGCCCCGGCCCCGGCUCCCACGGGAGGGAAGGAGGAAUGGCGAGGCGAGGCAAAGGCGACGGCAUAUGGGACGCGGCGCGGGCGGCAUGGCCCAGGGGGUCGGCCUCCUCCUCCCCUACGCCUCUCUCCUCUACUCCCAGCGCAUAGUCGCGCCGCUCCUCUUCCUCUCCCACGUCUGUCCCGACGGCGACGGCGACUCGCAAGCAAUGGGCGAGUCCCUGUAGGGGGGAGAGAGAGGAUGAGGGCCUCUCGCGCUCGCUUGUGACCCUCAGUCGUGGCUAGGGUUUCGGGCUGGGCAUUGCCUUCGUUGUCGGCGCGGCUCUGGUGGACUCCGGCGGCUCCUCUUCGUCUCCUCCCUCGCCCCCACGCGAGGCAAAGAAGAAACGGAGCACCUCACCUGGCUCCUCAGAACUCAGGCACUUUCGGCUAUCGGAACCACUUCUCUUAUUGUUACAUUACCUGAGAUAUAUGUAUUUUGUCUUCAAGGCUUUAAGUGUGGUUAGCACAACAUACAGAGACACUUUGGUAGUAGUGCAAUGGGGGUCUGGCUGCGUCUUUCAAGAGUGGUGUCAAUAACGAGAGGCUUCUAUGACAAUGGAGGCAGCGACAAGCACAUAUAUACUCUAGCUUUGAGGCACUAAAUUGUUUUGGCGUGUUCCAACUAAUCGAUGCCCUGAUGGUCCUCUUCGUGUCUCUGGCGGUAGUACCACUUGCCAUCCAGCGGCCAAUGAGCUAAAAGAGAACUGACUAGGUCCCGGUCAUCUCCGCCUCUGAUGGUGCUCCUAGACGUGCUACACAUCGCCUACCCGUCUCCUUGGCCGCUUCGGUGCCAGUGGCGUUCAUGCUCGUCGGCGGGAUGGUGCAAGGCGCAACUCCGACGUGGUUCCUCGCCGGUUGGAUGGCGUUUAGGCGCAACCCCGGCGCCCACUGAGUACUGCCUCGGCUACAACCUCCCUUGGUGAGCUCCAUCAUCCUCUGCUUCGGCUACUAUACGGAACAUGGCCGUGGCUAUGUUGAUAUAGUGCUUGUCUGGUUGAUGCUCUGUAGUUGUGGAUCCAUGCUUGAGCUCUCUCAGAGCUCAGGCACUCUCGGCCGUCGGAUCUUUUUCCUGAUGCGAUCUGGGUCGUUGGAUCUCACCCUCGGUUCACCUCGUCCGUCGGAUCAAAACUGAGGCCGUUGCAAUGAACAGCGUGCGCCCCGGGCGCACCGAAUGAUGCAUAGCUUUGUGAUUAACCAGUUUGUGGUUGUUGAAUUGUUCUGUACUGGAUGGACUUUCUGUUUUGGCGAGUCCGCUAGAGUUGCUCUUAACUUGCGCGGGCUACGAUGAUCGAUUAUGGCUGAUAUAAGCAUGCUCUCGAGCAAUUGAGGCACUUGUGGGUAUUAAGUUGGACCCCCCCCCCCCCUCGUUUCUUUGAGCCGUUUUGAUCAUGUGCUUAUUUUAGUGGCUCUGUCCUUGGAUGGUCAUUUCUGAUGAGUGAUAACUAGGGCAGUUUCACCCUUGUAAGAACAUAUUGAUCUGGUGAUGGAGACACUAGGGGAAGGGUCAUGAUCGAGCAAAGGCGAAUCUGAGCCCAUUCAAAUGCAGUUCUGGUCUCAAGCACGGUGUGCUAUGUUUUUGCCGUUCUGUAUUUGUAUUUAACGCCUCUUUGGUUUGUACAUUUCCACAAUAAUAGCUUCAAAUCUCUUUUGCUAUUUGAAACUGCAGUUUUUUAAGGGUCACACAUACACAUGAUGUGUUCACAUGUUAGUUGAAAACUUGGUGAAUUAAAUAUAUGUCUCAGCUACUAUUGAUAAUCAUGGCUAAAGCAAAAUUUCUUCUUUAAGUUUGCUUCCCAUGUACAUGUGUUACUGCUUGUGAAUCUCUACAGUUCAUGAGAACUUGCUGCAGCUCACAGUAGAGCUGCCACAAAAAAUUGUUGCUGAGCUGGCAUUGAUCCUUGGGAAACAGAGGUAUGCCCAUUCUAUUGUGUUCUGUAUGUUCCAUUUGAUGCAUCUUGAAUCUGCUUUUCCACACGUUCAGCUUCUAGCUCCAAUACAGCACCUUCAUAUUACCUGCCAAUUCGCAAGUGCAUGUUCUGUAUCAAAUAUAAUUGUUCCCUCUGUCGAAACAUAGAUUCUGCAUUGUAUAGGAUUCCAGCUCUUUAACCCUUUCUGCAUGCUCUUACACAUAUGUGCUUUCAUUAAGAAGAAAAAUCUACCAUGCUAGCUUAGUUGAUCCAGGGCUUAAGCUAUAUACCAAAAUAACACCGAGAGGAGAUCUGUGAGAAGUACCUUGAGCCUUUUUAUUUUUAUAUUCUGUUUUGCACACUCAUUUAAUGCCACUUGGAAUAUGAAGUAGAAAAUACCUUAAAGAGCUUGAUGCCUUAUAACAUUACUUGGUAUUUUAUCGUUCUUAUUACUCCAUCAUAGGCUUAUAUAUGUUAUUUUCAGUCAUACACCACAUCGAACAUCCAAAUAUUGUGUGGCAGACCCUAUCCUAUGCUCAACCUGAUACGCUCUUUUGUAGUGUUGAUUGUGUGUGUUAGGAAUAUGGCCUUUUGUUUUGCAAGAAGAAACUUGAUCGAAGCUUUGUGUGAUGAAGUUUGUGUUGCUUGCUAUGAGUGUCUCGAGCAAGAGGACCAAGUGUUGGCGGGUGGGCGUCAACAAGGUGGGCUGUCAGCACGGUGUUCGAGUUGGUCGGUGUUGGUGCACCUGCGCCAUGAAUGGAUCAAUACUCUAGGAGGUUCUGUCGAGGCCUAAUCCAUCCAGGAUUCUUCUAUGAUGGAAGAUGUUCUAAUCAUCUUACAGUCAAGGGUUAGGGCAGAUAAACUCACAAAAAUAUUUAUUUGGAUCUUUCGGUUUGGAAGUGCCAUGUUUUCUACUUGUACUCUGCAGGCAGUGUUACUGAUCUGUUUUCAAUCUCAGUAUGCCAUCUAUCCGGAUUUUGUAUCGCUUGCAUAGUGCCUAAUAUCAUGAGCCAAUUCUAAUAUUAUUUAUAGAGCUUUCAUAUUAUCAUUA